rnacentral:rRNA from 1 species
CGAACGGGUGAGUAAUGCGUGACCAACCUGCCCCAUGCUCCAGAAUAGCUCUUGGAAACGGGUGGUAAUGCUGGAUGCUCCAACUUGACGCAUGUNUUGUUGGGAAAGUGUUUAGUGGCAUGGGAUGGGGUCGCGUCCUAUCAGCUUGUAGGCGGGGUAAUGGCCCACCUAGGCUUCGACGGGUAGCCGGCCUGAGAGGGCGGACGGCCACAUUGGGACUGAGAUACGGCCCAGACUCCUACGGGAGGCAGCAGUA